rnacentral:rRNA from 1 species
AUCAAUAAGCGGAGGAAAAGCAACUAACCAGGAUUCCCCCAGUAACGGCGAGCGAAGCGGGAAUAGCUCGAGCAGCCAAUCUCUGGUGUCGAUCGCCAGCGAAUUGUGGCCGGUAGAGGCGGAUGCACCUGAAGCGACUCCGUCGAAGUUGACCUGGAAAGGCACGUCGGAGAGGGUGAUAGCCCCGUGCGUGGCGGAGUCGCCGAAGGCCGCUACCGUCUUCGGAGAGUCGGGUUGUUUGGGAGUGCAGCCCAAAGUGGGUGGUAAACUCCAUCUAAAGCCAAAUAACGGCACGAGACCGAUAGCGAACAAGUACCAUGAGGGAAAGGUGAAAAGCACUUUGGAAAGAGAGUUAAAGAGGCCGCGAAA